UUUUAGGGUCGGGCCGGUUCCAAAUGUAUAGAAAAACGGGGCCCCGGACCGGCCCGUUUGUAAUUGAAAUGGACAGCCCAGAUUGAAAAUAAACAUACCUCCCUAUCAUGACCGUUGAUUUUUACCCUAGUAUCUCUAAAUCUGAUUGAGUCUCUCUCUUGACCCGAGUCCUCGACCUCUCCGUCUCUGACCUCGUCCCCUCUCCUCGCCCCUCCAUUCCACAGUUCCACGGUCCACCACCCACCUCCUUGCCCACCUCCGACAUCACCGCCGUCGUGAGUCUGAGCCCUGACGACCGAGCUGAUCUUCUUCUCGAUUAUUCUCCUCGACGACAUCUCACCCUAGACCUAGAGAACCCAGGAACCCGCACCACCCAUCUUCUCGAUUCUCUUUCUCUCCUUCCCGACGACAUCACCGCCCUUGCGAUCACUAACACUCCACCGCCGUUGCCAGUUCAGGAUCUCAAGCGACACAAGGAAUACCGGGAUCUCAAGGGACACAAGGAGUUGAUUCAUUGUCAGUUAGAACCAGGGCUGUGGCUCAAUUUUUGAAAAGGGAAUGUUCUAUCUCCUCAACUUCAGAAGACGUCACUGGAGAUCUCAGCUUGGACAAAAUUUUAGAAGGAAAAACUAGAAAGCUAUGUGCCCGAAUGUUCUAUGAAACACUGGUUUUGAAGACUUAUGGUCUUGUUGAU